rnacentral:rRNA from 1 species
AUUGAACGCUGGCGGCAUGCUUUACACAUGCAAGUCGAACGGCAGCGCGGGCUUCGGCCUGGCGGCGAGUGGCGAACGGGUGAGUAAUGCAUCGGAACGUGCCCAGUAGUGGGGGAUAGCCCGGCGAAAGCCGGAUUAAUACCGCAUACGACCUGAGGGUGAAAGCGGGGGACCGAAAGGCCUCGCGCUAUUGGAGCGGCCGAUGUCGGAUUAGCUAGUUGGUGGGGUAAAGGCUUACCAAGGCGACGAUCCGUAGCUGGUCUGAGAGGACGACCGGCCACACUGGGACUGAGACACGGCCCAGACUCCUACGGGAGGCAGCAGUGGGGAAUUUUGGACAAUGGGGGCAACCCUGAUCCAGCCAUGCCGCGUGCGGGAAGAAGGCCUUCGGGUUGUAAACCGCUUUUGUUCGGGAAGAAAUCCUCUGGGCUAAUACCCCGGGGGGAUGACGGUACCGGAAGAAGAAGCACCGGCUAACUACGUG